ACCUGUAGCUGAUCGUAUUACCUUUGGUACCUUUGCUGCUGUACUAUGGGAGCUUCACACCUACACUGUCAGGUGGAGCUGUUCCUCCCUCACCAAACUGGCCUGGGCUGUUGUUUGUGGACAUUGCUGUCACGGUGCUUCCCUUGGCUGGGCUGAUUUUCCUCCACACCACAAAGGCCCUGGGCUGCCAUGUCGAAGAUAGUACAGAGUACAACUACAAGCCAACAGACUGUCAUUUGUUUACAUGUAUGUGGCAACAGGGCCCUCUUAGUCAUCUGUUUUUAGCCAUGCGAGGGGCUCUAUGGAUUACAGUGUCAGUUUGAUCCAGGCUAAAAUAUCUCAACAACUAUUACAUGGAUUGGAAGAAAUUGAAAAUUUGAACAGAAAUGUGUGGUCCCUAGAAAAUAAAUCCAACUGAUUCUUGGCAAUCCAUCUGACCUCGCUUCCAGUGCCACCAUAAGGUUGACAUUUUUGGUUUUUAGUUAUGAUAUAACAACAGCUAUUGGUUGGAUUGUUAUGUAUUCUGGUACAUAUGUGCCCAUGCAAUAACUCCUAAUGACUUUGGUGAUCUUUUCAUUUUGUGCCACCAGCAGGUAAAGAUUUACUCACUCAUACAGUUAUAUUCCGCUCAUAGUGAGGCAUUAGAAGUGUAAACAAAGUUGUUUCAUGCACAGUUCAAUUUUGAGAUUUUGGACUAUUUAGCUUCCAUGUCUUUCGUCCAAAGAAAACAGCCAGUUCAAAUCAGUUCAAAUUUCUGUUAUGAAAAUAGAUGCAAAAGAUGCAUUUUUUUU